GAUGAACGCUAGCUACAGGCUUAACACAUGCAAGUCGAGGGGCAGCACUAGGUAGCAAUACUGAGGUGGCGACCGGCGCACGGGUGCGUAACGCGUAUCCAACCUUCCCGAUACUCUUGGAUAGCCUUCCGAAAGGGAGAUUAAUACAAGAUGGUGUUUCAAUUCCGCAUGUUAUUGAAACUAAGAUUUAUCGGUAUCGGAUGGGGAUGCGUGACAUUAGAUAGUAGGCGGGUAACGGCCCACCUAGUCUACGAUGUCUAGGGGUUCUGAGAGGAAGGUCCCCCANACUGGUACUGAGACACGGACCAGACC
rnacentral:rRNA from 1 species